UGUCUCAGAGGCCAAGCCAAGGGACAAAUCAAAGGGGGGAAGAACAGGAGAAGCUAUGUCUGUACCAAUGACAGUUUUCUCCCUUUGCUCUUCUGAGGGUAACAGAGCAAGAGCAAACGUCUCAUUCAAGCACCUGACAACCGGAUUCUCCUCUCUGCAGUAUCCCUUCCCACCUUUAAUGUUUACGGGUAAAGAGGUGGAUGGAGGAACAAGCCAACUAAAACCUUCUGACUGUACCCACAACACAGGUACAACAAAGAGAAUGGCAAUGCAAGAUGCUGUCUAUUGCCCUGUGCAUCAAACGUGACUGGCAAGGUACACCUCUGAGUGGCCAGCAAAAGGUGCUUCAGAAGAAGGUGCAAGAAACUCCAUAGUAGAUGACGAGGUAUAAUCUGCCCUUCAUCCUAAUAAUGAGAGAUUGGUUGAAAACAUGAAACAUACAGUGUCUCUCCCCUCGAAUACUUUUUGUUGGCAUUAACUGUUAGUUUUGUUAUCCAUAUAAGU